rnacentral:rRNA from 1 species
CAGUCGCCGCGGUAAUACGAAGGGGGCUAGCGUUGCUCGGAAUGACUGGGCGUAAAGGGCGCGUAGGCGGUUGUUACAGUCAGAUGUGAAAUUCCUGGGCUCAACCUGGGGACUGCAUUUGAUACGUGACGACUUGGGUGGAGGAGAGGGUCGUGGAAUUUCCAGUGUAGAGGUGAAAUUCGUAGAUAUUGGAAAGAACACCGGUGGCGAAGGCGGCGACCUGGCCUUUAACUGACGCUGAGGCGCGAAAGCGUGGGGAGCAAACAGGAUUAGAUACCCCGGUAGUCCCUGUCUCUUAUAA